rnacentral:rRNA from 1 species
CAGCCGCCGCGGUAAUACGUAGGGUGCGAGCGUUAAUCGGAUUUACUGGGCGUAAAGCGUGCGCAGGCGGUCCGUUAAGACAGGUGUGAAAUCCCUGGGCUCAACCUAGGAAUUGCGCUUGUGACUGGCGGGCUCGAGUACGGUAGAGGGGGGUGGAAUUCCUGGUGUAGCAGUGAAAUGCGUAGAGAUCAGGAGGAACACCGAUGGCGAAGGCAGCCCCCUGGGCCUGUACUGACGCUCAUGCACGAAAGCGUGGGGAGCAAACAGGAUUAGAUACCCUGGUAGUCCACGCCCUAAACGAUGGGUACUAGCCGUUUGGUGCGCGAUAGCGCUGAGUGGCGAAGCUAACGCGAGAAGUACCCCGCCUGGGGAGUACGGCCGCAAGGUUGAAACUUAAAGGAAUUGGCGGG